UUAAGUUAUUAAGGGCGCACGGUGGAUGCCUUGGCACUAGAAGCCGAUGAAGGACGUUACUAACGACGAUAUGCUUUGGGGAGCUGUAAGUAAGCUUUGAUCCAGAGAUUUCCGAAUGGGGAAACCCAGCAUGAGUUAUGUCAUGUUAUCGAUAUGUGAAUACAUAGCAUAUCAGAAGGCACACCCGGAGAACUGAAACAUCUUAGUACCCGGAGGAAGAGAAAGAAAAUUCGAUUCCCUUAGUAGCGGCGAGCGAAACGGGAAGAGCCCAAACCAACAAGCUUGCUUGUUGGGGUUGUAGGACACUCUAUACGGAGUUACAAAGGACGACAUUAGACGAAUCAUCUGGAAAGAUGAAUCAAAGAAGGUAAUAAUCCUGUAGUCGAAAAUGUUGUCUCUCUUGAGUGGAUCCUGAGUACGACGGAGCACGUGAAAUUCCGUCGGAAUCUGGGAGGACCAUCUCCUAAGGCUAAAUACUCUCUAGUGACCGAUAGUGAACCAGUACCGUGAGGGAAAGGUGAAAAGCACCCCGGAAGGGGAGUGAAAUAGAACCUGAAACCGUGUGCUUACAAGUAGUCAGAGCCCGUUAAUGGGUGAUGGCGUGCCUUUUGUAGAAUGAACCGGCGAGUUACGAUUUGAUGCAAGGUUAAGCAGUAAAUGUGGAGCCGUAGCGAAAGCGAGUCUGAAUAGGGCGUUUAGUAUUUGGUCGUAGACCCGAAACCAGGUGAUCUACCCUUGGUCAGGUUGAAGUUCAGGUAACACUGAAUGGAGGACCGAACCGACUUACGUUGAAAAGUGAGCGGAUGAACUGAGGGUAGCGGAGAAAUUCCAAUCGAACCUGGAGAUAGCUGGUUCUCUCCGAAAUAGCUUUAGGGCUAGCCUCAAGUGAUGAUUAUUGGAGGUAGAGCACUGUUUGGACGAGGGGCCCCUCUCGGGUUACCGAAUUCAGACAAACUCCGAAUGCCAAUUAAUUUAACUUGGGAGUCAGAACAUGGGUGAUAAGGUCCGUGUUCGAAAGGGAAACAGCCCAGACCACCAGCUAAGGUCCCAAAAUAUAUGUUAAGUGGAAAAGGAUGUGGCGUUGCCCAGACAACUAGGAUGUUGGCUUAGAAGCAGCCAUCAUUUAAAGAGUGCGUAAUAGCUCACUAGUCGAGUGACACUGCGCCGAAAAUGUACCGGGGCUAAACAUAUUACCGAAGCUGUGGAUUGUCCUUUGGACAAUGGUAGGAGAGCGUUCUAAGGGCGUUGAAGCAUGAUCGUAAGGACAUGUGGAGCGCUUAGAAGUGAGAAUGCCGGUGUGAGUAGCGAAAGACGGGUGAGAAUCCCGUCCACCGAUUGACUAAGGUUUCCAGAGGAAGGCUCGUCCGCUCUGGGUUAGUCGGGUCCUAAGCUGAGGCCGACAGGCGUAGGCGAUGGAUAACAGGUUGAUAUUCCUGUACCACCUAUAAUCGUUUUAAUCGAUGGGGGGACGCAGUAGGAUAGGCGAAGCGUGCGAUUGGAUUGCACGUCUAAGCAGUAAGGCUGAGUAUUAGGCAAAUCCGGUACUCGUUAAGGCUGAGCUGUGAUGGGGAGAAGACAUUGAGUCUUCGAGUCGUUGAUUUCACACUGCCGAGAAAAGCCUCUAGAUAGAAAAUAGGUGCCCGUACCGCAAACCGACACAGGUAGUCAAGAUGAGAAUUCUAAGGUGAGCGAGCGAACUCUCGUUAAGGAACUCGGCAAAAUGACCCCGUAACUUCGGGAGAAGGGGUGCUCUUUAGGGUUAACGCCCAGAAGAGCCGCAGUGAAUAGGCCCAAGCGACUGUUUAUCAAAAACACAGGUCUCUGCUAAACCGUAAGGUGAUGUAUAGGGGCUGACGCCUGCCCGGUGCUGGAAGGUUAAGAGGAGUGGUUAGCUUCUGCGAAGCUACGAAUCGAAGCCCCAGUAAACGGCGGCCGUAACUAUAACGGUCCUAAGGUAGCGAAAUUCCUUGUCGGGUAAGUUCCGACCCGCACGAAAGGCGUAACGAUUUGGGCACUGUCUCAACGAGAGACUCGGUGAAAUCAUAGUACCUGUGAAGAUGCAGGUUACCCGCGACAGGACGGAAAGACCCCGUGGAGCUUUACUGUAGCCUGAUAUUGAAAUUCGGCACAGCUUGUACAGGAUAGGUAGGAGCCUUUGAAACGUGAGCGCUAGCUUACGUGGAGGCGCUGGUGGGAUACUACCCUAGCUGUGUUGGCUUUCUAACCCGCACCACUUAUCGUGGUGGGAGACAGUGUCAAGCGGGCAGUUUGACUGGGGCGGUCGCCUCCUAAAAGGUAACGGAGGCGCUCAAAGGUUCCCUCAGAAUGGUUGGAAAUCAUUCAUAGAGUGUAAAGGCAUAAGGGAGCUUGACUGCGAGACCUACAAGUCGAGCAGGGUCGAAAGACGGACUUAGUGAUCCGGUGGUUCCGCAUGGAAGGGCCAUCGCUCAACGGAUAAAAGCUACCCCGGGGAUAACAGGCUUAUCUCCCCCAAGAGUUCACAUCGACGGGGAGGUUUGGCACCUCGAUGUCGGCUCAUCGCAUCCUGGGGCUGUAGUCGGUCCCAAGGGUUGGGCUGUUCGCCCAUUAAAGCGGUACGCGAGCUGGGUUCAGAACGUCGUGAGACAGUUCGGUCCCUAUCCGUCGUGGGCGUAGGAAAUUUGAGAGGAGCUGUCCUUAGUACGAGAGGACCGGGAUGGACAUACCUCUGGUGUACCAGUUGUCGUGCCAACGGCAUAGCUGGGUAGCUAUGU
rnacentral:rRNA from 2 species